rnacentral:rRNA from 1 species
AUUGAACGCUGGCGGCAUGCUUUACACAUGCAAGUCGAACGGUAACAGGUUAAGCUGACGAGUGGCGAACGGGUGAGUAAUGCAUCGGAACGUGCCCGGUCGUGGGGGAUAACGCAGCGAAAGCUGCGCUAAUACCGCAUACGAUCUGAGGAUGAAAGCGGGGGACCGUAAGGCCUCGCGCGAUCGGAGCGGCCGAUGUCAGAUUAGGUAGUUGGUGGGGUAAAGCCUCACCAAGCCGACGAUCUGUAGCUGGUCUGAGAGGACGACCAGCCACACUGGGACUGAGACACGGCCCAGACUCCUUCGGGAGGCAGCAGUGGGGAAUUUUGGACAAUGGGCGCAAGCCUGAUCCAGCAAUGCCGCGUGCAGGAAGAAGGCCUUCGGGUUGUAAACUGCUUUUGUACGGAGCGAAAAGGCUCUCUCUAAUACAGGGGGCUCAUGACGGUACCGUAAGAAUAAGCACCGGCUAACUACGUGCCAGCCGCCGCAGUAA